rnacentral:rRNA from 1 species
CUUAAUUGCCAUCAUUCAGUUGGGCACUUUAUAGAGACUGCCGGUGCAAACCGGAGGAAGGUGGGGAUGACGUCAAGUCCUCAUGGCCCUUAUGUCCAGGGCUACACACGUGCUACAAUGGCCGGUACAAAGGGGCGCAAGACCGCGAGGUGGAGCAAAUCCCAAAAACCGGUCUCAGUUCGGAUUGGAGUCUGCAACUCGACUCCAUGAAGUUGGAAUCGCUAGUAAUCGCGUAUCAGCAUGACGCGGUGAAUACGUUCCCGGGCCUU